rnacentral:rRNA from 1 species
AAUGAACGUUGGCGGCGUGGAUUAGGCAUGCAAGUCGCGCGAUAAAUCUCAGCAAUGGGAUGGAAAGCGGCGAAAGGGACAGUAAUGCGUAGAUACCUACCCUCGGGCUCGGGAUAGCUGCGGGAAACUGCAAUUAAUACCGAAUAACGUCUCCGGACCAAAGGUGUGAUUCCGCCGGAGGAUGGGUCUGCGUCCUAUUAGCUAGUUGGUGUGGUAACGGCGCACCAAGGCAAAGAUGGGUAGCAGGUGUGAGAGCACGACCUGCGUCACUGGGACUGAGACACUGCCCAGACACCUACGGGUGGCUGCAGUCGAGAAUCUUCGGCAAUGGGCGCAAGCCUGACCGAGCGACGCCGCGUGCGGGAUGAAGGCCUUCGGGUUGUAAACCGCUGUCAGAGAGGCGGAAAUAUAGGGGGGUACUCCCCUCUAUUUGACCUAUUCUCAGAGGAAGUGCGGGCUAAGUCCGUGCCAGCCGCCGCUGUAAUAC